rnacentral:lncRNA from 1 species
UUAAUUAUGAUGGAGGACAGGACAGGAUCGGAGCGAGAGGAGGUGUCACCGUAAUGAGAGCGGUAUGUGCUGCGAAUCACUACCGUCCAACGUUUUUCCGUCAAGAAAAUGCAGCAUUUCUGCAGAAAGAUAGCCCCGGCCAGCAGUUGUCUUUUGGGCAGCGGAGUUGGCCUGAAAUUAUAAGCUUCGAGGCUCACCGAAUUGGC